CAGAGGAUAGUUUAAUGAAAAUAUUAGUUUUGGGGAUUAAUGAUAGGGAGAAGUCCUUUUCUCUGA
rnacentral:tRNA from 1 species